GAUGAACGCUGGCGGCGUGCCUAAUACAUGCAAGUCGAGCGAACGGACGAGAAGCUUUCUUCUCUGAUGUUAGCGGCGGACGGGUGAGUAACACGUAGAUAACCUACCUCUAAGACUGGGAUAACGUCGUGAAACCUGAUCUAAUACCGGAUAAUAUUUUGAACCGCAUGGUUCAAAAGUGAAAGACGUUCUUGCUGUCACUUAUGGAUGUAUCCGCGCUGCAUUAGCUAGUUGGUAAGGUAACGGCGUACCAAGGCAACGAUGCAUAGCCGACCUGAGAGGGUGAUCAGCCACACUGGAACUGAGACACGGUCCAGACUCCUACGGGAGGCAGCAGUAGGGAAUAUUGCGCAAUGGGCGAAAGCCUGACGCAGCAACGCCGCGUGAGUGAUGAAGGUCUUCGGAUCGUAAAACUCUGUUAUUAGGGAAGAACAUAUGUGUAAGUAACUGUGCACAUCUUGACGGUACCUAAUGAGAAAGCCACGGCUAACUCCGUG
rnacentral:rRNA from 1 species